AUUGAACGCUGGCGGCAUGCCUUACACAUGCAAGUCGAACGGCAGCACGGGGUGCUUGCACCUGGUGGCGAGUGGCGGAACGGGUGAGUAAUACAUCGGAAUGUACCUUGUAGUGGGGGAUAGCUCGGCGAAAGCCGGAUUAAUACCGCAUACGCUCUGAGGAGGAAAGCGGGGGACCUUCGGGCCUCGGUGCUACAAGAGCAGCCGAUGUCAGAUUAGCUUGUUGGUGAGGUAAAAGCUCACCAAGGCGACGAUCUGUAGCUGGUCUGAGAGGACGACCAGCCACACUGGGACUGAGACACGGCCCAGACUCCUACGGGAGGCAGCAGUGGGGAAUUUUGGACAAUGGGCGAAAGCCUGAUCCAGCAAGUGCCG
rnacentral:rRNA from 1 species